GAAGACGCGAUGGCGGCGAUGGCAUCUCUCGGCGCCCUGGCGCUGCUCCUGCUGUCCAGCCUCUCCCGCUGCUCAGGGAUCUGCCUCCUGUGGUCCAGACCCAGAGCCUUCUCUGACGUCCUCUGCUGAAGCCAUCGUUCUGCCAGGGCACCACAUUUGGACAGCGGGUGGCUGAGAACGUUCCCACUUUGGGGAGCCUUUGUUUCACACCCUCUGAUGUAGGCGGCAGCCUUCCUUUCCUUUGGGCCUCUGGUUAUGGAGAAGGCUAAGGCAAGGCCUGCCUGGAGCCCCAGAUCACCCCUUCCUACUACACCACUUCUGACGCUGUCAUUUCCACUGAGACCGUCUUCAUUGUGGAGAUCUCCCUGACAUGCAAGAACAGGGUCCAGAACAUGGCUCUCUAUGCUGACGUCGGUGGAAAACAAUUCCCUGUCACUCGAGGCCAGGAUGUGGGGCGUUAUCAGGUGUCCUGGAGCCUGGACCACAAGAGCGCCCAUGCAGGCACCUAUGAGGUUAGAUUCUUCGACGAGGAGUCCUACAGCCUCCUCAGGAAGGCUCAGAGGAAUAACGAGGACAUUUCCAUCAUCCCGCCUCUGUUUACAGUCAGCGUGGACCAUCGGGGCACUUGGAACGGGCCCUGGGUGUCCACUGAGGUGCUGGCUGCGGCGAUCGGCCUUGUGAUCUACUACUUGGCCUUCAGUGCGAAGAGCCACAUCCAGGCCUGACGGCGGCACCCCAGCCCUGCCCUUGCUUCCUUCAAUAAACAUCACAGGACCUGGGACUGC
rnacentral:sRNA from 1 species